UAUGGAUGCAAAGGAGAAGGACAACUAUUAUAUAUAUAUAUAGGAUAUGAAAAUUACACUUUUCUAAUCUAUCCCCAACAAUAGGAUGCACUCAACGAAGCCUUUUAUUUUUUUUAGUUUAAUUAUGUCUUCUUUUAAGCAACAGAGCUAGUAUUAGAGUUUCUUCUACUUCCAUGGUUGAGUAAAAAAUAAAUAAUAAUUAUAUUGAAUCAGAUACUCGUGUGAAAGUCGCCCACACAUGAAACGCUUGUUUUUUCUCAUAGUGUGAUUCUAGUGGCUGGCCACAAAGUGUCUUGUCUGAAAGCGCUCUUAAAGUAUUAUACAGUUCAAAAUAUUGUAGAAAAUUAAACAUUCUCCAUUA